rnacentral:rRNA from 1 species
UACGGGGGGGGUAAGCGUUGUUCGGAAUUACUGGGCGUAAAGGGCUCGUAGGCGGCCAACUAAGUCGGACGUGAAAUCCCCAGGCUCAACCUGGGAACUGCGUCCGAUACUGGAUGGCUUGAAUUCGGGAGAGGGAUGCAGAAUUCCAGGUGUAGCGGUGAAAUGCGUAGAUAUCUGGAGGAAUACCGGUGGCGAAGGCGGCAUCCUGGACCGACAUUGACGCUGAUGAGCGAAAGCCAGGGGAGCAAACGGG